AGCGAACGCUGGCGGCGCGCCUAAUACAUGCAAGUCGAGCGAGAAGACGUAGCAAUACGUUUGUAAAGCGGCGAACGGGUGAGGAAUACAUGGGUAACCUACCCUCGAGUGGGGAAUAACUAGCCGAAAGGUUAGCUAAUACCGCGUACGCUCCUUGGACUUCGGUUCAGGGAGGAAAGCGAUACCGUGGGUAUCGCGCUCUUGGAUGGGCUCAUGUCCUAUCAGCUUGUUGGUGAGGUAACGGCUCACCAAGGCUUCGACGGGUAGCUGGUCUGAGAGGACAAUCAGCCACACUGGCACUGCGACACGGGCCAGACUCCUACGGGAGGCAGCAGUAAGGAAUAUUGCGCAAUGGGCGAAAGCCUGACGCAGCGACGCCGCGUGGGGGA
rnacentral:rRNA from 1 species